AACCUCAAAUUGGUAGAUCGUUACUUUAUAUGUCGACUGCCAAAGACAUCUAGGAUGCAGUACAGCAGUUGUAUUCGCAGAAGCAGAAUGCAUCCCGCCUUUAUACCUUACGCAAACAAGUCCAUGAAUGUAAGCAAGAAGCUACGGAUAUAACGUCAUACUUCAACAAAUUGUCCUUGUUAUAGCAAGAAAUGGACUUAUGCCGUGAGAUUAUCUGGAGAUGUACAUAUGAUGGGACGCAGUAUUCCAAAAUUGAGGAAGCUGAUUGAGUGUAUGAUUUUCUGACUGGGUUAAAUCCGAAAUUUGACGGUGUUCGCAACAGGAUCUUGGGCCAACGUCCUACACCGUCACUGAGGGAGGUGUGCUCUAAAAUACACCUCGAAGAAGACAGGUCUAGGGCCAUGAAUAUUUCAAUAGUUACGUCUACUAAGGUUGCUGCUUUUGCCACUAAGUCAUUUGGAUUAGAUAGUGACAAGAAACCUCCACAUGUCUAUGAGCAUUCCAAAAAACCAUGGCACACGAAAGACCAGUGUUGGAAGCUUCAUAGAAAACCUCCAAAUUACAAAUGACAUUAGUCACAGAACAAGGCUGGUCCUGGACGGGCUCUGGUUAACGACUCGACGAAUGACAAGACCUCGACUCUGCCUCAAGCUAAUGGUCAGAGUAACUUAAAUGUUGUUGGGGUCAGUGCAAUUGCACACUCAGGAUCUGAGCUCGGGGACGACGAUUGGCAAUGUCCGGCACGACAGGGGGCUCUAUUUCCUGACUGAUGAAACUUCCUUUAAGGAUGGUUAUAGGACUACUUUUAUUUCUUUGAAUUUCUCUACUGUUGAGACCGAUUUUAUGUUAUGGUAUUACCGUCUGGGACAUCCCAAUUUUUAA